GACGAACGCUGGCGGCGUGCUUAACACAUGCAAGUCGAACGGAAAGGCCCUGCUUUUGUGGGGUGCUCGAGUGGCGAACGGGUGAGUAACACGUGAGUAACCUGCCCUUGACUUUGGGAUAACUUCAGGAAACUGGGGCUAAUACCGGAUAGGAGCUCCUGCUGCAUGGUGGGGGUUGGAAAGUUUCGGCGGUUGGGGAUGGACUCGCGGCUUAUCAGCUUGUUGGUGGGGUAGUGGCUUACCAAGGCUUUGACGGGUAGCCGGCCUGAGAGGGUGACCGGCCACAUCGGGACUGAGAUACGGCCCAGACUCCUCCGGGAGGCAGCAGUGGGGAAUAUUGCACAAUGGGCGGAAGCCUGAUGCAGCAACGCCGCGUGCGGGAUGACGGCCUUCGGGUUGUAAACCGCUUUCGCCUGUGACGAAGCGUGAGUGACGGUAAUGGGUAAAGAAGCACCGGCUAACUACGUG
rnacentral:rRNA from 1 species